rnacentral:tRNA from 1 species
GCGGGCGUGGUGAAACCGGUAACCACAUCAGACUUAAAAUCUGACGCCGAGAGGCUUGCGGGUUCGAGUCCCGCCGCCCGCACCA